ACUCCUACGGCGUCAGCAGUAAGGAAUAUUGCUCAAUGGGAGAAAUCCUGAAGCAGCAACGCCGCGUGGAGGAUGAAGGGUCUAUGACUUGUAAACUCCUGUAAAGAAGGAAAAAAUUCCCAUUUGAUGGGAGAUGAUGGUACUUCUGGAGUAAGCCCCGGCUAACUACGUGCCGGCAGCCGCGGUAAU
rnacentral:rRNA from 1 species